AAACCUGAGAAACCCAAAAGAUCGAAUGGUGGAGAUUCAUCGUCAGCGUAAUUGGCGCUUGUGCGGCUCCCGAUGCCGUGGGACCCCGGUCUCGGGGCACGGGUCCGCAUGGUUCAAUCUGCCAAUUAUCGUCGGCGUGCACUUCUCCCCUAGUAGGACGUCGCGACCCGUUGGGUGUCGGUCUACGGCCCGGGCGGUAGCCUGUCGCGUGUCACGCUUAACGGCGGCGUCAUGCGGCAGACCCCCGGGAUUGCUCGACCAGCUGCCCGGCGGUACUCGCACGGUAUAGGGCCGCAAGAGCAGGCACUGCGUCCGGCCCGUCGCAAGCGAGGCCAGUGUUUUCCCGGAUGUACGGACCUAGCGCCGUCGCCGGGCCUGGCCAGCUGUUGGCUGACGGUGCUCUCGGAUCGGCUCGCUGAUACCGGUCGGCGACGCUACUGCUUUGGGUACUUUCAGGACCCGUCUUGAAACACGGACCAAGGAGUCUAACAUGUGCGCGAGUCAUUGGGACGAUAUAAGCCUAAAGGCGCAAUGAAAGUGAAGGUCGGCCCCGCGCCGACCGAGGGAGGAUGGGCCGCGUCACGAUGCGGUCCCGCACUCCCGGGGCGUCUCGUUCUCAU
rnacentral:rRNA from 1 species